rnacentral:rRNA from 1 species
GACGAACGCUGGCGGCGUGCCUAAUACAUGCAAGUAGAACGCUGAAGGAGGAGCUUGCUUCUCUGGAUGAGUUGCGAACGGGUGAGUAACGCGUAGGUAACCUGCCUGGUAGCGGGGGAUAACUAUUGGAAACGAUAGCUAAUACCGCAUAAGAGUAGAUGUUGCAUGACAUUUGCUUAAAAGGUGCAAUUGCAUCACUACCAGAUGGACCUGCGUUGUAUUAGCUAGUUGGUGAGGUAACGGCUCACCAAGGCGACGAUACAUAGCCGACCUGAGAGGGUGAUCGGCCACACUGGGACUGAGACACGGCCCAGACUCCUACGGGAGGCAGCAGUAGGGAAUCUUCGGCAAUGGACGGAAGUCUGACCGAGCAACGCCGCGUGAGUGAAGAAGGUUUUCGGAUCGUAAAGCUCUGUUGUAAGAGAAGAACGAGUGUGAGAGUNGAAAGUUCACACNGNGACGG